rnacentral:rRNA from 2 species
GCAGCAGUAAGGAAUAUUGGUCAAUGGGCGGAAGCCUGAACCAGCCAUGCCGCGUGCAGGAAGACGGCCCUACGGGUUGUAAACUGCUUUUGUACCGGAAUAAACCUUCUUUCGUGAAAGAAGCUGAAUGUACGGUAAGAAUAAGGAUCGGCUAACUCCGUGCCAGCAGCCGCGGUAAUACGGAGGAUCCAAGCGUUAUCCGGAUUUAUUGGGUUUAAAGGGUGCGUAGGCGGCCUGUUAAGUCAGGGGUGAAAGACGGUAGCUCAACUAUCGCAGUGCCCUUGAUACUGAUGGGCUUGAAUGUACUUGAGGUAGGCGGAAUGUGACAAGUAGCGGUGAAAUGCAUAGAUAUGUCACAGAACACCAAUUGCGAAGGCAGCUUACUAAAGUAUGAUUGACGCUGAGGCACGAAAGCGUGGGGAUCAAACAGGAUUAGAUACCCUGGUAGUCCACGCCCUAAACGAUGAACACUCGAUGUUGGCGAUAUACGGUCAGCGUCUAAGCGAAAGCGUUAAGUGUUCCACCUGGGGAGUACGCCCGCAAGGGUGAAACUCAAAGGAAUUGACGGGGGCCCGCACAAGCGGAGGAGCAUGUGGUUUAAUUCGAUGAUACGCGAGGAACCUUACCCGGGCUUGAAAGUUAGUGAAUGUGACAGAGACGUCACAGUCCUUCGGGACACGAAACUAGGUGCUGCAUGGCUGUCGUCAGCUCGUGCCGUGAGGUGUUGGGUUAAGUCCCGCAACGAGCGCAACCCCUAUGUUUAGUUGCCAGCAUUUAAGGUGGGGACUCUAAACAGACUGCCUAUGCAAAUAGAGAGGAAGGAGGGGA